GACGAACGCUGGCGGCGUGCUUAACACAUGCAAGUCGAACGAAGUGGCGCACGGGUGAGUAACGCGUCAUCAACCUGCCCUUCAGAGGGGGAAAACAGUUGGAAACGACUGCUAAUACCGCAUACUGAAGGAGGGGAUUGCGUCUGAUUAGGUCGUUGGAGGGGUGACGGCCCACCAAGGCGAUGAUCAGUAGCCUGUCUGAGAGGAGGAACCGCCACAUUGGGACUGGUACACGGCCCAGACUCCGACGGGAGGCAGCAGUGGGGAAUCUUCCGCAAUGGACGAAAGUCUGACGGAGCAACGCCGCGGUAGUGAUGACGGCCUUCGGGUUGUAAAGCUCUGUUAAGCGGGACGCGGUACCGGAAUAGAAAGCCACGGCUAACUACGUGCCAGCAGCCGCGGUAAUUC
rnacentral:rRNA from 1 species